CGAAGGAUGCAAGCGUUAUCCGGAUUCAUUGGGUUUAAAGGGUGCGUAGGCGGACUGAUAAGUCAGUGGUGAAAUCUCUCAGCUUAACUGAGAAACUGCCAUUGAUACUGUUAGUCUAGAGUAUAGAUGACGUUGGCGGAAUAUGACAUGUAGUGGUGAAAUACUUAGAUAUGUCAUAGAACACCGAUUGCGAAGGCAGCUAACGAAACUAUAACUGACGCUGAGGCACGAAAGUGCGGGGAUCAAACAGGAUUAGAUACCCUGGUAGUCCACGCCGUAAACGAUGGAUACUAGCUGUUCGGAGCAAUCUGAGUGGCUAAGCGAAAGUGAUAAGUAUCCCACCUGGGGAGUACGUUCGCAAGAAUG
rnacentral:rRNA from 1 species